rnacentral:ncRNA from 7 species
GCAUAUCAAUAAGCGGAGGAAAAGAAACCAACAGGGAUUGCCUUAGUAGCGGCGAGUGAAGCGGCAAAAGCUCAAAUUUGAAAUCUGGCACUUUCAGUGUCCGAGUUGUAAUUUGAAGAAGGUAUCUUUGGGUCUGGCUCUUGUCUAUGUUUCUUGGAACAGAACGUCACAGAGGGUGAGAAUCCCGUGCGAUGAGAUGACCCAGACCUAUGUAAAGUUCCUUCGAAGAGUCGAGUUGUUUGGGAAUGCAGCUCUAAGUGGGUGGUAAAUUCCAUCUAAAGCUAAAUAUUGGCGAGAGACCGAUAGCGAACAAGUACAGUGAUGGAAAGAUGAAAAGAACUUUGAAAAGAGAGUGAAAAAGUACGUGAAAUUGUUGAAAGGGAAGGGCUUGAGAUCAGACUUGGUAUUUUGUAUGUUACUCUUUCGGGGGUGGCCUCUACAGUUUACCGGGCCAGCAUCAGUUUGGGCGGUAGGAGAAUUGCAAAGAAAUGUGGCACUGCUUCGGUAGUGUGUUAUAGUCUUUGUCGAUACUGCCAGCCUAGACUGAGGACUGCGGCUUCGGCCUAGGAUGUUGGCAUAAUGAUCUUAAGUCGCCCGUCUUGAAACACGGACC